rnacentral:rRNA from 1 species
AAUGAACGUUGGCGGCGUGGAUUAGGCAUGCAAGUCGUACGGGUCGGUGUAGCAAUACAACGGCAAGUGGCGAAAGGGAGAGUAACACGUAGAUACCUACCCUCUGGUCGGGGAUACCGCGGCAUAACCGCAAGUAAUACCCGAUAAAAUCUCCGGAUCAAAGGUGUGAUUCCGCCGGAGGAGGGGUCUGCGUUCUAUCAGCUUGUUGGUGAGGUAAUGGCUCACCAAGGCUAAGACGGAUACGGGGUGUGAGAGCAUGCCCCCGCUCACUGGGACGGAGACACUGCACAGACACCUACGGGUGGCUGCAGUCGAGAAUCUUCGGCAAUGGGCGCAAGCCUGACCGAGCGACGCCGCGUGCGGGAUGAAGGCCUUCGGGUUGUAAACCGCUGUCGAGGGGAAUGAAGUGUAGGUGGGUACUCCCAUCUAUUUGACAGAUCCCUGGAGGAAGCAUGGGCUAAGUUCGUGCCAGCCGCCGCAGUAAAAC